UGUGGAUGGUUGGCUUGAGGUUGGCUGGACCUGUGUUCCUCAGUGUUUUCCCUGGCCAGCAAUGGACAUUUCCGGGCAGUGACCAGAACUGUCAGAGUGACUGAGAGAAGAUAUCUCAUCAGCAAGAAGAGCUAACAGUGAGGUCUUCACAGACAAUAUGAAUCCGAGCCUAGAAAAGUCCUGUAUGAUCUUGAAUAAAGUCCUGACAUCUUUAAACAUGCUUCCACCAUUUUGCUGUUGGUUGGAAACAUGGUUUAGUUGACUGCUGGCCAAUCCAGAAGAAAACUUCAGAGAGAAAAUGUUGGAUCCGUGAGGAAAAGGAGCACAGACCAUCAAUGGCCAUUGGAAAGGUGACAAAUGGAGACCUUUACUCAGAAGCAGGAGAGAAGCAGGUUGUCCAAAGUACUGAAUGCAUCUCCCCGAUCAAAUUCUUGGUUAUAUUCAAAUACUCCACACUAUGUACAAAAAUCCAUUCUGUUGCUUCAAAACAAAUCAUGAACAUCUGGGCCUUGGUUGUAAUUUCAAAUAAAAAGUUAGCAAAUUUAAAUAUCAGCACAGGGACUUUCAACUUCAUGAAUGUUGCAUUCAAAAUGAAGGCCUUUGGCAAUUGGGUUUGGAGAGUUUCAGCCUGCAGGAUGCACAUUCCCAGAGGCAGCUGUGAACAAGUGGGAGCCACUGGGUGACACCCAGGUUCGAGCACACCAUCACAUUCUUGGGGAACACUGCUAACGCACGAUCAAAAAGGCUGAAGACGGUUUGUGUAGGCAGUAUGGGUGGCCCUUUAUAGGAUGUAGGAAAUGGUGUGUGCUUGAAUAUCAAGUGUACAGGAAACCAGGUAAGGGGAAGAUACCUGCAGUGCUGAAGACAAUAAGUGCCAUACUUAUCACUUUACUGGGAUAAAAACUUAAAAUAAUUAAAAAUAAAACUGGAGUGCCAAGAAGCCCACAGCCCACUGCGUUCUUGCGGCACACUGGAGUGACACUACUGCUCUCUUUGCCAAAAGCUUCUUAUUUCCAAGGAAGCCCGUUUUAUAGACACACAUCAGAACAUCUUCUUUUACCUUUUGACAAAAUGAAACUGCAUCCUUGGGAGUUUCCCACCCAUUGCUCUCUUGGCUACUUCACUCCAGUACUAUUUCAUUACUUAUUGAUUUUUCAACGCCUCUCUGCAUGGCUGUAAUUUACAC
ensembl:lncRNA